UACGGAGGGUGCGAGCGUUAAUCGGAAUUACUGGGCGUAAAGGGUUCGUAGGUGGUUUAUUAAGUUAACUGUGAAAUCCCUGGGCUUAACCUGGGGCGGUCAGUUAAGACUGAUAGACUUGAGUAUAGGAGAGGGUAGUGGAAUUUCCGGUGUAGCGGUGAAAUGCGUAGAGAUCGGAAGGAACACCAGUGGCGAAGGCGGCUACCUGGACUAAUACUGACACUGAGGAACGAAAGCGUGGGGAGCAAACAGG
rnacentral:rRNA from 1 species